rnacentral:rRNA from 1 species
UCGUCACACUAUCAUUAACUGAAUCCAUAGGUUAAUGAGGCGAACCGGGGGAACUGAAACAUCUAAGUACCCCGAGGAAAAGAAAUCAACCGAGAUUCCCCCAGUAGCGGCGAGCGAACGGGGAGGAGCCCAGAGCCUGAAUCAGCAUGUGUGUUAGUGGAAGCGUCUGGAAAGGCGCGCGAUACAGGGUGACAGCCCCGUACACAAAAGCGUAUGUGCUGUGAGCUCGAUGAGUAGGGCGGGACACGUGGUAUCCUGUCUGAAUAUGGGGGGACCAUCCUCCAAGGCUAAAUACUCCUGACUGACCGAUAGUGAACCAGUACCGUGAGGGAAAGGCGAAAAGAACCCCGGCGAGGGGAGUGAAAAAGAACCUGAAACCGUGUACGUACAAGCAGUGGGAGCCCCACCACUAAGCCAGUGGUGAACUCCACAUACGCAUCCUUUGCUGAGGAUACGGUUAACGGAGCGAAAGCGACGUUCAACCGCAAAAGAAGCAGAGGGGGCUUAGUGGUGGGGUGACUGCGUACCUUUUGUAUAAUGGGUCAGCGACUUAUAUUCUGUAGCAAGGUUAACCGAAUAGGGGAGCCGGAGGGAAACCGAGUCUUAACCGGGCGUUAAGUUGCAGGGUAUAGACCCGAAACCCGGUGAUCUAGCCAUGGGCAGGUUGAAGGUUGGGUAACACUAACUGGAGGACCGAACCGACUAAUGUUGAAAAAUUAGCGGAUGACCUGUGGCUGGGGGUGAAAGGCCAAUCAAACCGGGAGAUAGCUGGUUCUCCCCGAAAGCUAUUUAGGUAGCGCCUCGUGAAUUCAUCUCCGGGGGUAGAGCACUGUUUCGGCUAGGGGGCCAUCCCGGCUUACCAACCCGAUGCAAACUGCGAAUACCGGAGAAUGUUAUCACGGGAGACACACGGCGGGUGCUAACGUCCGUCGUGAAGAGGGAAACAACCCAGACCGCCAGCUAAGGUCCCAAAGUCAUGGUUAAGUGGGAAACGAUGUGGGAAGGCCCAGACAGCCAGGAUGUUGGCUUAGAAGCAGCCAUCAUUUAAAGAAAGCGUAAUAGCUCACUGGUCGAGUCGGCCUGCGCGGAAGAUGUAACGGGGCUAAACCAUGCACCGAAGCUGCGGCAGCGAACGUAUCACUUAAAGCGAUUCAGCGGGUUACGAUUGACGGAGCGAAGCGACGUCAAAGCGUAUACAAAGUCGAGUCGGUUUAAGGAUACGUUCGUUGGGUAGGGGAGCGUUCUGUAAGCCUGUGAAGGUGGCCUGUGAGGGUUGCUGGAGGUAUCAGAAGUGCGAAUGCUGACAUAAGUAACGAUAAAGCGGGUGAAAAGCCCGCUCGCCGGAAGACCAAGGGUUCCUGUCCAACGUUAAUCGGGGCAGGGUGAGUCGACCCCUAAGGCGAGGCCGAAAGGCGUAGUCGAUGGGAAACGGGUUAAUAUUCCCGU